AGCGAACAGACGAGGAGCUUACUCCUCUGACGUUAGCGGCGGACGGGUGAGUAACACGUGGAUAACCUACCUAUAAGAUUGGGAUAACUUCGGGAAACCGGAGCUAAUACCGGAUAAUAUAUUGAACCGCAUGGUUCAAUAGUGAAAGACGGUUUUGCUGUCACUUAUAGAUGGAUCCGCGCCGCAUUAGCUAGUUGGUAAGGUAACAGCUUACCAAGGCAACGAUGCGUAGCCGACCUGAGAGGGUGAUCGGCCACACUGGAACUGAGACACGGUCCAGACUCCUACGGGAGGCAGCAGUAGGGAAUCUUCCGCAAUGGGCGAAAGCCUGACGGAGCAACGCCGCGUGAGUGAUGAAGGUCUUCGGAUCGUAAAACUCUGUUAUUAGGGAAGAACAAAUGUGUAAGUAACUAUGCACGUCUUGACGGUACCUAAUCAGAAAGCCACGGCUAACUACGUGCCAGCAGCCGCGGUAAUACGUAGGUGGCAAGCGUUAUCCGGAAUUAUUGGGCGUAAAGCGCGCGUAGGCGGUUUUUUAAGUCUGAUGUGAAAGCCCACGGCUCAACCGUGGAGGGUCAUUGGAAACUGGAAAACUUGAGUGCAGAAGAGGAAAGUGGAAUUCCAUGUGUAGCGGUGAAAUGCGCAGAGAUAUGGAGGAACACCAGUGGCGAAGCGACUUUCUGGUCUGUAACUGACGCUGAUGUGCGAAAGCGUGGGAUCAAACAGGAUUAGAUACCCUGGU
rnacentral:rRNA from 1 species